CGAAACGAGACCUUAACCUGCUAAAUAGCCAGGCCGGCUUUGGCUGGUCGCUGAGCUUCUUAGAGGGACUGUCAGCGUCCAGCUGACGGAAGUUUGAGGCAAUAACAGGUCUGUGAUGCCCUUAGAUGUUCUGGGCCGCACGCGCGCUACACUGACAGAGCCAGCGAGUUUUUCACCUUGACCGGAAGGUCUGGGCAAUCUUGUGAAACUCUGUCGUGCUGGGGAUAGGGCAUUGCAAUG
rnacentral:rRNA from 1 species